rnacentral:rRNA from 1 species
GACGAACGCUGGCGGCGUGCUUAACACAUGCAAGUCGAACGAUGAACCCGGAGCUUGCUCCGGCGGAUUAGUGGCGAACGGGUGAGUAACGCGUGAGUAACCUGCCCUUGACUCUGGGAUAACUGCGGGAAACUGUAGCUAAUACCGGAUACGACCCUCGGCGGCAUCGCCAGGGGGUGGAAAGAAUUUCGGUCAAGGAUGGACUCGCGGCCUAUCAGCUAGUUGGUGAGGUAACGGCUCACCAAGGGGACGAGGGGUAGCCGGCCUGGUAGGGGGACCGGCCAGCCUGGGACUGAGACACGGCACAGACUCCUACGGGAGGCAGCAGGGGGGAAUAUUGCACAAUGGGCGCAAGCCUGAUGCAGCAACGCCGCGUGAGGGAUGACGGCCUUCGGGUUGUAAACCUCUUUUAGUAGGGAAGAAGCGAAAGUGACGGUACCUGCAGAAAAAGCACCGGCUAACUACGUGCCAGCCGCCGCCGUAA